rnacentral:rRNA from 1 species
CCUACGGGUGGCAGCAGUGGGGAAUAUUGCGCAAUGGGCGAAAGCCUGACGCAGCGACGCCGCGUGAGGGAUGAAGGUCUUCGGAUCGUAAACCUCUGUCAGCAGGGAAGAACGGUCACUGUGCUAAUCAGCAGUGAAUUGACGGUACCUGCAAAGGAAGCACCGGCUAACUCCGUGCCAGCAGCCGCGGUAAUACGGAGGGUGCGAGCGUUAAUCGGAAUUACUGGGCGUAAAGCGCUCGUAGGCGGUAUGUCAAGUCAAGGGGGAAAUCCCCGCGCUCAACGUGGGAACUGCCUUUGAAACUGGCAAACUGGAGGGGGUGAGAGGAUAGUGGAAUUCCAGGUGUAGGAGGGAAAUCCGUAGAUAUCUGGAGGAACAUCAGUGGCGAAGGCGACUAUCUGGCACAUAACUGACGCUGAGGAGCGAAAGCGUGGGUAGCAAACAGGAUUAGAUACCCCAGUAGUC